UGAAGUCACCAUUUGAAUUUAAAACUGAACUACAAUGUGCGCGCCCUGCCCAUACCCUCAGCUCAGGUCAUUGUUCAAUCACGACCACCGUGGACCUCUGCGUUGGAAAUCGCUUCCGGCGGCGGUGGCCACCCUAAAUCAAAAUCUUAACCAUCCCAUGAACCGCAUCAUCCUCCCCAAUUCAAAUCCCCAAUCAAUUUCAACCAAAACCGUGCGUAGAACGUUAACUGAAUCCAAUCACACAUGAACCAUGGAUCUUGAAAUGCAAAUUAAACAACGAUCAGAAGGAAUUAAAGCCCCUCGUGUUAGGUCUUUAAUUCCUCACCCUAACCACUACAAUGACUGCAACAAAUUCAAGGUGAAGCAAGGAGUAAAGCCUACCUACGAAACAGAGGAGUGUCCCGGAGCUUGUUGAAAUCGAAGAUGAUGGUGUUGAACAAAAAUACCAGAGCUUCUUCAGGUAUGAAAUCCUUGAAUCCUUGAUCUUGCUUUCUUCUUCUUCUUCUUGGUGACUGUGGUCUGUAGAAGAUGAGGAUGAAUUCCUGAUUCAACCCGUGUGUGAGAGUGAGAGAGGUUAGGUUCUAGCUCUUGUUAUUUCAGAUCUUCAAGGUGAGGCUCUGAGCAACAAUGGAAGGAGAGAGUUUUUGCGAGGGUGGAUUUAGAGAGAGAGAGAGAGAGAGAUAGUGAAGAAGAUAAAGAUUGAGCAAUGACUGUGUAUCCCCUUUCAUGAAUUGAUGAUGAUGGUAUAUAUAGGUUGUGAUUCGGUUAGAAAUUCAAUUGAAAUUCACCUCAAAUGAAUCUCAAAUGCAGAAGUUAGUUAUGGAUGUUAGUUGGAAGGUGCGAAAAUGUUAAUUGCAACUCUGAGUUAGUUUGGUUUGAAUUCGGUUAUUCUGUUAUGAACUGUGGGUUAUUACUUCAAUCCAUGAACCAUCAAUUGGUUUGCAAAUGCAUUAACAAUUAAGGUAGUUAUGAUUUGUUGAAUGGAUAUUAAAAUGUGGGAUUAGUUAAGCUUAGCAGACUGUUAGAAAUUAGGGUUCAAACUGUUAGGAUUGAAUUUUUGCUAAGAGGAAAAAAACAGCUUAAACUGUCAGCUUCUGGGCUCUGUUAGUGCAGUUUGCCAUCUGUUAAUGAGUUUCUUGAAGCAAGACAUAUUACACUAAUUUGGAAGUGUUUUUUCUGUUAGAAAACUCAAAUGUUGUUGAUUAUUAGCUUAGACUGCUUUGGAUUAAUUUUGAGUCAAUGUAAUUACUAAAACAAAAGUUGAUUGAAUGUCAUGCUAAUCAAUGUUAGUUGGAUUGUAUUGUUGUCAAACUGAAAGAUAUGGAUAUGGUCAAUGUUUAAACUGAAUUCAUUACUAUUGACUGGACUAUUAUGGAAUUGUGUUUUGCAGUGGUUUGUGCAGGUUGGAAGGCUCAGGUUCAUAGUGGCUCAGCUUGUGUGCAGACUUCACUUUGACCAUGGUUCUGCUUUGUGUGGUGAUUCUACAAGUGUGUUUUGGACUACUCCAUGGCAUGCAUAGGCUCAUGGCAAGGCUCAAACUUGGCCAAUGUUCCUGCACUAGUUUUUGCAGCAUGGUUGUUGGCUUAGUCAUGGUUUCAAGGCAAUGCUUUAAGGCAUGACAAAUGACCAUAUCUUGAUGCAAAAGGUGGCUUUCUUGUUCAUGAAGAAAUUGAUCAUGGAAUCACAUGGAAAGGUGCAACAAUGAAGAUACAAUGAUCAUUAGGGUUUAAAUAAAGUAAAAAUAGGUUAGUUGACUUUUGUCAACUGGUUGAUCCAAAAGUCAAAUGUUGACUAAAAAGUCAACCUUUGUAAAAAUUGCAUUUUUUGUAUUUUCUUUUGUAAUGGACAAUGUAUAUCUUUAUGAAUGAAUGAAAACUCAAUUGU